UACGGAAGGCAGCAGUGGGGAAUAUUGCACAAUGGGCGCAAGCCUGAUGCAGCCAUGCCGCGUGUAUGAAGAAGGCCUUCGGGUUGUAAAGUACUUUCAGUCGUGAGGAAGGUGUUAAGGUUAAUAACCUUAGCAAUUGACGUUAGCGACAGAAGAAGCACCGGCUAACUCCGUGCCAGCAGCCGCGGUAAUACGGAGGGUGCGAGCGUUAAUCGGAAUUACUGGGCGUAAAGGGCACGCAGGCGGUUAAUUAAGUUGGAUGUGAAAUCCCCGGGCUUAACCUGGGAAUGGCAUUCAAGCUGGUUAGCUAGAGUCUUGUAGAGGGGGUAGAAUUCCAUGUGUAGCGGUGAAAUGCGUAGAGAUGUGGAGGAAUACCGGUGGCGAAGGCGGCCCCUGGACAAGACUGACGCUCAUGUGCGAAAGCGUGGGGAGCAAACAGGGAUUAGAUACC
rnacentral:rRNA from 1 species